GAUGAAGAACGUAGCGAAAUGCGAUAAGUAGUGUGAAUUGCAGAAUUCAGUGAAUCAUCGAAUCUUUGAACGCACAUUGCUCCCCUUGGUAUUCCAUGGGGCAUGCCUGUUCGAGCGUCAUUUGUACCCUCAAGCUUUGCUUGGUGUUGGGUGUUUGUCUCGCCUUUGCGUGUAGACUCGCCUUAAAAUAAUUGGCAGCCGGCGUAUUGAUUUCGGAGCGCAGUACAUCUCGCGCUUUGCACUCAUAACGACAGCGUCCAAAAGUACAUUUUACACUCUUGACCUCGGAUCAGGUAGGGAUACCCGCUGAACUUAAGCAUAUCAUAAGCGGAGGA
rnacentral:misc_RNA from 1 species